CCUACGGGAGACAGCAGUAGGGAAUCUUUCACAAUGGGCGAAAGCCUGAUGGAGCAACGCCGCGUGCAGGAUGAAGGCCUUCGGGUUGUAAACUGCUUUUAUAAGCGAGAAAUAUGAUGGUAACUUAUGAAUAAGGAUCGGCUAACUACGGGCCAGCAGCCGCGGUCAUACGUAGGAUCCGAGCAUUAUCCGGAGUGACUGGGUGUAAAGAGUUGCGUAGGUGGCAUAAUAAGUAGCUAGUGAAAUCUGGUGGCUCAACCAUUCAGACGAUUAGCUAAACUGUUUAGCUCGAGACCGUUAGGGGUAACUGGAAUUUCUAGUGUAGGAGUGAAAUCCGUAGAUAUUAGAAGGAACACCAAUAGCGUAGGCAGGUUGCUGGGACGGUUCUGACACUAAGGCACGAAAGCGUAGGGAGCAAACGGGAUUAGAUACCCUUGUAGUC
rnacentral:rRNA from 1 species